GAUGAACGCUGGCGGCGUGCCUAAUACAUGCAAGUAGAACGCUGAAGCUUGGUGCUUGCACCGAGCGGAUGAGUUGCGAACGGGUGAGUAACGCGUAGGUAACCUGCCUCUUAGCGGGGGAUAACUAUUGGAAACGAUAGCUAAUACCGCAUAAAAGUCGAUAUCGCAUGAUAUUGAUUUGAAAGGUGCAAUUGCAUCACUAAGAGAUGGACCUGCGUUGUAUUAGCUAGUUGGUGAGGUAACGGCUCACCAAGGCGACGAUACAUAGCCGACCUGAGAGGGUGAUCGGCCACACUGGGACUGAGACACGGCCCAGACUCCUACGGGAGGCAGCAGUAGGGAAUCUUCGGCAAUGGGGGCAACCCUGACCGAGCAACGCCGCGUGAGUGAAGAAGGUUUUCGGAUCGUAAAGCUCUGUUGUAAGAGAAGAACGAGUGUGAGAG
rnacentral:rRNA from 1 species